CUCACAUAAAGCACUGCUUCAUGUACUUGUUCUGAUUCCCAGUUACCAAAACAAGGGCCGGUUAAGCUAUAUGUGGUCAUGUCCUAGUUACUAUCUCUGUAACACCCUCUUCUCACCCAAGUGCAUCUCACCCAUUGCUCCGCUGUGGUACAUUUCCUACAUCGUACUCCAUGCUUGCAAGAUCCUCCAAGGUCUAUGGCUGAAGAUAUACGUGGCAGUCCCAAACAGUGAAGCCUUUUGCUAGUUCAGUGGCCACUGGAGAAGAAUUGGAGGAUCGGAAGGCCAUUAACCCACUGAAGGUAUUCAAUCUCAGUCUUUCAAAUUUUAGAAGCAGAUUCUUUAAUUUUCUGGGACUCAUUGAAUCCAACAGUCAGAUUAAACUAGAAAAUGGAAAAUUCCUCAGACAUUGGAGAAAUUCUGUGUGGGGAAUGCACCACAGUUAUAAAGUUUCUUGAGGACAGUGAGCAAACUCCUUGAGGACAGGGACAACUGUCCAUUCAACUUGGUGAAAUUUCCUGCAUCCUAGCACAGU